GCAUGAGUGAAACAGGAACUCCUAUUCACUGAGUGAAAACUGAUAGCCCUUAAAAAUGCAUGGAAUACAGCUUGGCCUAAUGCCCAAUGACCGAGAUUUUUAAAAUCAGCACUUCCCUGAGACCAAACUGAAGCCAAGUAUUACCACAGAAGAAACUUCUGAAAUAAAAGAAAGUGUUCAUUGUCAAAUGGGAACCACGUCACACGGAAUGCUUACCCGGCCAUUCUGAAGCAACCACUGAGCAUCUGAUAUGAGGACUGGGUGAAGAGCCUCGAGCAUGCAGUGGAAGCAAGAACCAUAUCCCCAAGUCCUCAGCAGAUAUUAAAAAAUAGAUUCCUCAA
rnacentral:lncRNA from 1 species